rnacentral:lncRNA from 1 species
UAAUUUUUAUGAUGAUCAGAGCAAAGUAAAGUGAUGAUUUUUGUGUAAUGAAAAAAAGAAAAGCAAAUUUUAUAUAAUGAAUACAAAGUUAAGUCACACCAAUGAAAUUUUCUCAAAAUCAAUUGAACAAGUGAAAGAGAAGGAAGAGAGUAUUUCAUUAAGAUUAAAUUAGAUUUAACUUCCAAGUUCUAAGUUCGUGAACAAG